UACAGAGGGUGCGAGCGUUGUCCGGAAUCACUGGGCGUAAAGGGCGCGUAGGCGGCAAUUCAAGUCAUCUGUGAAAUCUCCGGGCUUAACCCGGAACGGUCAGGUGAUACUGUUUUGCUAGAGUGCGGAAGGGGCAAUCGGAAUUCUCGGUGUAGCGGUGAAAUGCGUAGAUAUCGAGAGGAACACCAGAGGUGAAGACGGGUUGCUGGCCGACACUGACGCUGACAGCGCGAAAGCCAGGGAGCAAAGCGGG
rnacentral:rRNA from 1 species